UACGUAGGGGGCGAGCGUUGUCCGGAGUUACUGGGCGUAAAGCGCACGCAGGCGGUCUGUUAAGUUUGGCGUGACAGUUGGUGGCUUAACUGCCAAAGUGCUUCGAAAACUGACAGACUUGAGGGCUUCAGAGGGACACGGAAUUCCGGGUGGAGUGGUGAAAUGCUUAGAGAUUACAUGGAAUACCAAUUGCGAAGGCAGGUUACUACUAAUAUAUUGACGCUGAUGGACGAAAGCGUGGGGAGCGAACAGG
rnacentral:rRNA from 1 species